CCCAAAGUCAAGCAAGAAAUUUUGCAAGUUUGGAAAGUUGAGAUACUAUUAUUAAAAUUUUACCUUUUGACAACGUUCGUCUUUAUUUUAACCUGGCGAAGUCUUGGAUCCGAAGACAUAUUGUGCAAAAUAUAUUAAAAAUAACCGAAUUUUAGGUCUUGAUUUUUCAAAACAAGAAAUUUAAAACUGCAAAGCUUCUUGCAAAGCAACGAAGUUUGUAAACAAACUUUUCCGGUGAACACUUUUUUCCAUCCAGCAAACCGCCCUAUCGAUUUUGUAAAGUCGUUUCUUUUUGGAUUUUUUCAUUAAUUCGGUUAGGGUUAGAGUUAGGGUUGAGGUUAGAGUUAGGGGUUAGGGUAGGGUUUGGGUUAGUUACAUAGCCAUUUAACACCUGCGAAAAUGACGCCAGGUCAGUUUGCUGGAUGGAAAAUAGUGCUAACCAAACUUUCCACCGUACAGGGAUUCCACGGGAUAGCACAGGAUAGGAAAAUUCUGAAAUUUGUUGUGGAUUGUGGAAACUGAAAAAUUACUUUAUAUAAAUCAAAUUACAAAAUUUGUUAUUUUUACAGUGUUAUUAAGUUUUACAGAUAGAUACUGAUGUUUUCUAAAUGUUUUCUGUACAUACUAUGGAA